AACGAACGCUGGCGGCAUGCCUAACACAUGCAAGUCGAACGAGACCUUCGGGUCUAGUGGCGCACGGGUGCGUAACGCGUGGGAACCUGCCCUUAGGUUCGGAAUAACUCCCCGAAAGGGGUGCUAAUACCGGAUAAUGUCUUCGGACCAAAGAUUUAUCGCCUUUGGAUGGGCCCGCGUUGGAUUAGCUAGUUGGUAGGGUAAAAGCCUACCAAGGCGACGAUCCAUAGCUGGUCUGAGAGGAUGAUCAGCCACACUGGGACUGAGACACGGCCCAGACUCCUACGGGAGGGAGCAGUGGGGAAUAUAGGACAAUGGGCGAAAGCCUGAUCCAGCAAUGCCGCGUGAGUGAUGAAGGCCUUAGGGUUGUAAAGCUCUUUUACCCGGGAUGAUAAAGACAGUACCGGGAGAAUAAGCACCGGCUAACUCCGUG
rnacentral:rRNA from 1 species